rnacentral:rRNA from 1 species
ACGUAUGGGGCAAGCGUUGUUCGGAAUUAUUGGGCGUAAAGGGCGUCUAGGCGGGGGAUUAAGUUAGAUGUGAAAGCCACGGGCUCAACCCGUGAACUGCCACUAAGACUGGUUCUCUUGAGUUCGGGUGAGGUAAGCGGAAUUCCAGGUGUAGCGGUGAAAUGCGUAGAUAUCUGGAAGAACACCGGUGGCGAAGGCGGCUCUCUGGCCUAGAACUGACGCUGAAGCGCGAAAGCGUGGGGAGCGAACAG